GGGUUGUGAGGUUAAGCGACUAAGCGUACACGGUGGAUGCCCUGGCAGUCAGAGGCGAUGAAGGGCGUGCUAAUCUGCGAUAAGCGCCGGUAAGGUGAUAUGAACCGUUAUAACCGGCGAUACCCGAAUGGGGAAACCCAGUGUGAUUCGUCACACUAUCAUUAACUGAAUCCAUAGGUUAAUGAGGCGAACCGGGGGAACUGAAACAUCUAAGUACCCCGAGGAAAAGAAAUCAACCGAGAUUCCCCCAGUAGCGGCGAGCGAACGGGGAGGAGCCCAGAGCCUGAAUCAGCAUGUGUGUUAGUGGAAGCGUCUGGAAAGGCGCGCGAUACAGGGUGACAGCCCCGUACACAAAAGCGCAUGUGCUGUGAGCUCGAUGAGUAGGGCGGGACACGUGGUAUCCUGUCUGAAUAUGGGGGGACCAUCCUCCAAGGCUAAAUACUCCUGACUGACCGAUAGUGAACCAGUACCGUGAGGGAAAGGCGAAAAGAACCCCGGCGAGGGGAGUGAAAAAGAACCUGAAACCGUGUACGUACAAGCAGUGGGAGCACNNNNNNNNNUGUGUGACUGCGUACCUUUUGUAUAAUGGGUCAGCGACUUAUAUUCUGUAGCAAGGUUAACCGAAUAGGGGAGCCGGAGGGAAACCGAGUCUUAAUUGGGCGUUAAGUUGCAGGGUAUAGACCCGAAACCCGGUGAUCUAGCCAUGGGCAGGUUGAAGGUUGGGUAACACUAACUGGAGGACCGAACCGACUAAUGUUGAAAAAUUAGCGGAUGACCUGUGGCUGGGGGUGAAAGGCCAAUCAAACCGGGAGAUAGCUGGUUCUCCCCGAAAGCUAUUUAGGUAGCGCCUCGUGAAUUCAUCUCCGGGGGUAGAGCACUGUUUCGGCUAGGGGGCCAUCCCGGCUUACCAACCCGAUGCAAACUGCGAAUACCGGAGAAUGUUAUCACGGGAGACACACGGCGGGUGCUAACGUCCGUCGUGAAGAGGGAAACAACCCAGACCGCCAGCUAAGGUCCCAAAGUCAUGGUUAAGUGGGAAACGAUGUGGGAAGGCCCAGACAGCCAGGAUGUUGGCUUAGAAGCAGCCAUCAUUUAAAGAAAGCGUAAUAGCUCACUGGUCGAGUCGGCCUGCGCGGAAGAUGUAACGGGGCUAAACCAUGCACCGAAGCUNNNNNNNNNNNNNNNNNNNNNNNNNGGGUAGGGGAGCGUUCUGUAAGCCUGCGAAGGUGGCCUGUGAGGGUUGCUGGAGGUAUCAGAAGUGCGAAUGCUGACAUAAGUAACGAUAAAGCGGGUGAAAAGCCCGCUCGCCGGAAGACCAAGGGUUCCUGUCCAACGUUAAUCGGGGCAGGGUGAGUCGACCCCUAAGGCGAGGCCGAAAGGCGUAGUCGAUGGGAAACGGGUUAAUAUUCCCGUACUUGGUGUUACUGCGAAGGGGGGACGGAGAAGGCUAUGUUGGCCGGGCGACGGUUGUCCCGGUUUAAGCGUGUAGGUGUGUGUUCCAGGUAAAUCCGGUUCACUUUAACACUGAGGCGUGACGACGAGGCACUACGGUGCUGAAGCAACAAAUGCCCUGCUUCCAGGAAAAGCCUCUAAGCAUCAGGUAACAUCAAAUCGUACCCCAAACCGACACAGGUGGUCAGGUAGAGAAUACCAAGGCGCUUGAGAGAACUCGGGUGAAGGAACUAGGCAAAAUGGUGCCGUAACUUCGGGAGAAGGCACGCUGACACGUAGGUGAAGUGAUUUACUCAUGGAGCUGAAGUCAGUCGAAGAUACCAGCUGGCUGCAACUGUUUAUUAAAAACACAGCACUGUGCAAACACGAAAGUGGACGUAUACGGUGUGACGCCUGCCCGGUGCCGGAAGGUUAAUUGAUGGGGUCAGCGCAAGCGAAGCUCCUGAUCGAAGCCCCGGUAAACGGCGGCCGUAACUAUAACGGUCCUAAGGUAGCGAAAUUCCUUGUCGGGUAAGUUCCGACCUGCACGAAUGGCGUAAUGAUGGCCAGGCUGUCUCCACCCGAGACUCAGUGAAAUUGAACUCGCUGUGAAGAUGCAGUGUACCCGCGGCAAGACGGAAAGACCCCGUGAACCUUUACUAUAGCUUGACACUGAACAUUGAGCCUUGAUGUGUAGGAUAGGUGGGAGGCUUUGAAGUGUGGACGCCAGUCUGCAUGGAGCCGACCUUGAAAUACCACCCUUUAAUGUUUGAUGUUCUAACGUGGACCCGUUACCCGGGUUGCGGACAGUGUCUGGUGGGUAGUUUGACUGGGGCGGUCUCCUCCUAAAGAGUAACGGAGGAGCACGAAGGUUGGCUAAUCCUGGUCGGACAUCAGGAGGUUAGUGCAAUGGCAUAAGCCAGCUUGACUGCGAGCGUGACGGCGCGAGCAGGUGCGAAAGCAGGUCAUAGUGAUCCGGUGGUUCUGAAUGGAAGGGCCAUCGCUCAACGGAUAAAAGGUACUCCGGGGAUAACAGGCUGAUACCGCCCAAGAGUUCAUAUCGACGGCGGUGUUUGGCACCUCGAUGUCGGCUCAUCACAUCNNGGGCUGAAGUAGGUCCCAAGGGUAUGGCUGUUCGCCAUUUAAAGUGGUACGCGAGCUGGGUUUAGAACGUCGUGAGACAGUUCGGUCCCUAUCUGCCGUGGGCGCUGGAGAACUGAGGGGGGCUGCUCCUAGUACGAGAGGACCGGAGUGGACGCAUCACUGGUGUUCGGGUUGUCAUGCCAAUGGCACUGCCCGGUAGCUAAAUGCGGAAGAGAUAAGUGCUGAAAGCAUCUAAGCACGAAACUUGCCCCGAGAUGAGUUCUCCCUGAGACUUAAAGUCUCCUGAAGGAACGUUGAAGACGACGACGUUGAUAGGCCGGGUGUGUAAGCGCAGCGAUGCGUUGAGCUAACCGGUACUAAUGAACCGUGAGGCUUAACCUUACAACGCCGAAG
rnacentral:rRNA from 1 species